rnacentral:lncRNA from 1 species
CACUCUCACAUUCACUCUCACACAGGCUCACUUGCAAACACUCACACACACACUCUCACAUUCACUCUCACACAGGCUCACAUACACUUACACUCUCACACUCACACUCACACAUACACUCUCAUAUACUCUUGUACUCACACACUCAUAUGCACAUCACUCACACAGACACACACACACACUAAUAAGACAGGCGUAAAGUGUUGUAAUGUUACAAUGUCACCACAUAUUUCCUGAGACCUUCUCUAACAGUUGUUAUUUUUAGCAUCUUCCUCCUCCUCCAAGACUACACACUCGUGGUCCCCCUGUCCACCUCUUUCAAUACCCUUAUCUUAACUGCUCUAGCCUCUCUGGAAAGCUCUGGCACAGAGUGCUCCUAACAUUCGUUUGGUAUUUAACAAAAAGAUAUACACAAUUUCUGAUGGGUUAAUGUCUUUUUUUCAACCCAAUAACCACGCUAAGGGAUAAAAUCUUGUCCUCUAUGGAUCAGACAUAACAAGCAUAGCUUCUUGAAUUCUGCACACACAUCCCAAACCUUUACUGUUUAAAAACAAAACAAACACUAGUAAGAGAUAGGAGAACACAGUAGGCUUGCCUCUGAACACACCUGGUUGCGCAGCCUGGUGCGAGGGUUGGGAGCAUAGCCAAUGAAGCCCACUUUCUUCAUGGUUCGAAGAAUUUCUGCAUCCACAGGUGGUGCUCGCCUAUAAUCCAGUGUAGUUCUAGCUUGAAGGGCCAUGACAGCCACCCAUGCACUUCCCAACCCAUGGGUUCAGGAUUAGAAAAAGCAUUUAAGGUAGACAAAAAAUAACUAUAG